UUUAUUUUCACAAAAAUAAAA
rnacentral:piRNA from 1 species